rnacentral:lncRNA from 1 species
ACAAAAAGCAUCACAAACACAACAAACAUAUAGUGGUUCGGUGCACCCCAGCACCUACAUCCACUCCCCAAGACCUCUUGGAAAUUUCACUAUAAUCCUCCAGAUUACAGUCGGUUGUUUUACAAGCUCACAACCCAACUUGUUGUUUUGCGAGAUCACAACGAACUCGGUCGGUUUUCACAGGCUUACCGACUAGAACCAACCGAUUGUUUUUCCGGGUUCACAAUCAAACCCAGUUGGUUUUCCCAAAGGCUCACCAACCACAACCUUACAACGAUUGUUUUCCGGGUUCACAAUCAACCCAGUUGGUUU